rnacentral:rRNA from 1 species
UACGAAGGGGGGCUAGCGUUGUUCGGAAUUACUGGGCGUAAAGCGCACGUAGGCGGAUCGAUCAGUCAGGGGUGAAAUCCCAGAGCUCAACUCUGGAACUGCCUUUGAUACUGUCGGUCUAGAGUAUGGAAGAGGUGAGUGGAAUUCCGAGUGUAGAGGUGAAAUUCGUAGAUAUUCGGAGGAACACCAGUGGCGAAGGCGGCUCACUGGUCCAUUACUGACGCUGAGGUGCGAAAGCGUGGGGAGCAAACAGG